CAAUGCAAUAGGUGAAGAACUUGACUCUGUCUCAUUUCGGCUUGUUGGACGCUGGCGUAUAGUUGUAAUUAGUAGAGAAGGGUAAUUUGGCCAUGUUUGCAGUUGGGGUUCAAUAUCUGGCAACGAAAGCAUUAAGAAAGAGAGCUGGUUCAUCUAAAAAGCAGGAGAUGUGAUGCUGAGAUACAACCACCUGAUCUGCAUCUGCUCCAGUGAAGACACAAGAUUGGUACAGAAACUGAAGGAUAUGAAGAAGGAAGAACAGGUUCUUGUUGCUGCCGACAGAUGUAACAAGGUAAGCAAGCCUAUUGUUCUCAGAAACUCUUACAGCCAGUGUCAGAGUGGCAUGGUAGCAUUUUAUCUCAGGGUGACCUGUUGCAAGUUGUUGGGUCAGGAUAGCUCACAGGAAAGUUUUUUUUUUUUGUGGGAUAUGUAACAGUUCUAUAAACGUUUAAAGCCAUGUCUUUCCAGAAAAUCCCAUUUCAUUGAAAAUUUUAAUUUCUGUGACAAAACAUUACGUAGAAUAGCAAAGCUAAUAGGCAUUUUCACUCGCAUAUACAGGGUCUAGUCUCACGAUAAGUUACAUUAAUCUGAAGGGAUUAGGUUAAAAAUCUGGUUGAUUUGACGUGGAAUGGCGAAGGGGCUGUGUAGAGUGAAUUCUGUAUUUACUUGAAAGGUAGAAGUGUGAGAACGUAGGUACUUUUUAAUUCUGAAUGGCUAUAUUCUUUACCGUGAAUAAUGUGAGUAGGGACACUGCAAGCAUAAUGUUUCUGAAACAUCAACUCGGUGGUUGUACUACUAAUGGUUAGAAAUAAAGUUGGUAUAUCUUCA